rnacentral:rRNA from 1 species
GACGAACGCUGGCGGCGUGCUUAACACAUGCAAGUCGAGCGGUAAGGCCCUUUCGGGGGUACACGAGCGGCGAACGGGUGAGUAACACGUGGGUGACCUGCCCUCAGCUCUGGGAUAAGCCUGGGAAACCGGGUCUAAUACUGGAUAUGACUCCAUGACGCAUGUUGUGGGGUGGAAAGCCUUGUGCGGCUGAGGAUGGGCCCGCGGCCUAUCAGCUUGUUGGUGGGGUGANGGCCUACCAAGGCGACGACGGGUAGCCGGCCUGAGAGGGCGACCGGCCACACUGGGACUGAGACACGGCCCAGACUCCGUACGGGAGGCAGCAGGUGGGGAAUCUUGCGCAAUGGGCGAAAGCCUGACGCAGCGACGCCGCGUGGA